UACGGAGGGUGCAAGCGUUAUCCGGAUUCACUGGGUUUAAAGGGUGCGUAGGUGGAGAGGUAAGUCAGUGGUGAAAUCUCCGGGCUUAACCCGGAAACUGCCAUUGAUACUAUCUUUCUUGAAUAUCGUGGAGGUGAGCGGAAUAUGUCAUGUAGCGGUGAAAUGCUUAGAUAUGACAUAGAACACCAAUUGCGAAGGCAGCUCACUACACGAAUAUUGACACUGAGGCACGAAAGCGUGGGGAUCAAACAGG
rnacentral:rRNA from 1 species